AGUGUGGGUCAGACUCAAAAGAAUGCGCUUAGGAGCGUUAAUCGCAGGGUAAAACCAUACUCUUUGACUGUGAAGACAUACUCUGCGGCUGGAAAACUUAGUAAAGUCGUACAUUGAAAUCUAUGCCAUGUUACCAGGACAACUCUGCGUAAAAUGUGUAGAAGAUUGGAUACCAGCAAAAAAAGCAGAAAUUAAAUGUUGUGAUUGCGGUCACGGACAGCUCUACCUGUUUGACUGUAUGGAAUCCCUUCAUCGAACGAGGAAUGUUUUCCAUUUGGUUGAAGUAUGGAAGGUAAGUUUAAUUCUUUCUGGCGGCACAGAUGAAUCCCUGUAAAAUUUGCCUGCCAGCAAAACAUAAACAAGUUAAGUCGUCUGUUGGAAGGCAAUUGUAUGUGAUUAUUUCCAAAAGUCAAUUCUUCAGAUGAAAUAUUUUUGCUUUUUACAUUUGGAAUUUGGCUUGUUAAGCUCCAGUAUUCAUUAAAUGCCGGCAAUUUUUUACAACCAUGUCUUAACUCUAAAGUAGCUUAAUCGGUAGUAUUUUGUUAAAAUUAUCAAUCAUUUUCAAGAAUGCUAUGCUGCUAUAUGCUGUGCAUGGUGCCUUAUGUAAUGUAUACAUGUUCUGAUGCUUAAAUAACUACUGUUUACACUGAUUGUGAAAUGUUUGUUCUGUUACUUUGGUGGUAUAUUACGUGACACUCAGCAUACUAACUGCUCUUCAACAGAAUCACAUACUAUAAUAUGUGUGGAUGAAAAAGGUACAGUAUGGCAACAAUGACAGUAUUUUCACUUUAACUACAUGUAAAUGUGUAUAUAUUAGUCAUACUGUUAAGUAUUAGCUUCAUUUAGGCCAAUAAUUUCUAUGUUAAUUAUUUGUUAUCAAAUAAUCCAAUUUUUAAUCUCAUACAAAAUUUAGGUCGGCAGCAUUUAAAAAUUGUUGAAUUCUGUCGGUGUAUGCUGAAAAACUUAUUAAACUCCAGCUGUGGCCAGGCUCAUCUUCUAAACCCAAAAUUGCAUUUCACUUUGACUUCAUUGAUUUUGCUGAAAAAUUCUUGCUUGAGAGCCAUGUAUUCUUGUACAAAUUUUGCAGCACUGUUGAAGUUGAAUAUCUUGAAAUGCUACCUAGAAUGGUAUAUAUUUCUCAUAAACCUGAAUUGCGUACCCAUGUGAUAGUCUUCCCAUCAAAUAUUGGAAAUAGAUGAGUUGUACUUUGCAAAAAAAAUUAUUGAAUCACUGUUAUUUACAAGCAACAUAAACAAUGCAGAUUUACCUCAAAUAAGGUAAGAGCACAUUCAAAUUGUACAUGAAGAUUCCUCUGCUGUUAUGACAUUGUGUAUUCAACCUUAUUUUAUUUUUGAAACAAAUGCAUGAGUUUACUAGGUGUUCAUUUUAUUCUUGUUAAGGUCAAAAUCAUAUGUAAUGUGUUAAACAAUGGAUCAUUCGAUGAAUACACAUGUUAUAUGUAAUAAAAAAAAAGUCUAUUUACAGUUAUUGUAGACCUAAUGGUUAGAUUAUAUGUGUAGAGUAGUACAGUCUAACCUGUUUUAAGUACACAUCAUGGGACAACAGACCAGUGUCAGCUUAAUGAAAGUGUCAGCUUAAUGAAAGUGUCAGCUUGAUUGAGGUUACAUCAUUAUACAUUCAUCAUUAUUAGCUAUAUGAGACUAAAUUUUGGAUUUUACACAGUAUCUGCUUAGUACAAGGUCAUUUGAUACAGGAGGUUUGACUGUAUAUAUUAUAUCAUUUAAGAAUUUGAUUUUUUGUCAGAUAUUUCAAACACCAAGUCAGAUCAUUAAAGUUUGUACAGAAAGACCUGAUUGAUUAUAGAAAUUGCCCUCUUUGCCCACAAACUGGUGAGUUAGGUGUGGCCAUUCAUUCCAUGGAUGCUUGCUUUGGUCUAACUCGUAAAAAGUUGGAAGGGAAUAGAUUUGCUGUCCCAAACCAUGGCUGCCUUAAGUUUGCUGAUCACGAUGAAGUAGAAGAUUUUGUUGAUCAUUAUAGCAAGUCUAAUAACAAAGUAGGACAGUUGUCAGAUAUUUAAGGCAGGACAAGUUACAAAAGCACUUCACUCCAAAGGAAAAAAUCAACUGUUUGAUGAAAAAGGAGUGUUUGGUAGUUGUUGCAGUCGGCAUUCACACCCUGGACGAUUUUUCAGCACUAAAUAUGGGGAAAGAAUUUCGUAUUUGCUGUUCCUAAUCCAAAGCAUUUUAAAAGAUGCUGACCGAAGUCCUGGUGUUGAUUUAAAAAUAAUGUAUGAUAUUGGAUGUGUAUUAUCAUCAUAUUUAAAGGCAAACAAGAGGCAUGACAUUUUGUUAAAAGUGUCAAUUUCGGUGCCGAUAUUUCAUUGCUAUGGACACAAGGCUUCAUGCCAGGCAUGUUACGGCAACAAGCAGCCACCAGAAUCUUAUCCAAACUAGAGCACCUCGCUUCUUCAGACGCGCUUCUUCACUUAUCUCGAAGAAAUUUUAGCAAUGCAGGAAAAUCAUUAACGUCGAAGCUUAAAAAAUGUCUACAACUUAAAAUUAAAACGCAACAAGAAAUGAAGGAUUUAUUUAGCGAACUACCUGUGACGUACGCUCCUGAAAUUGUUUGUCAGUUGGAGGCCAGAGAGAAGGAAAUUAUGUCAAGAGUCAACCCAGAACAUAAAGAAACCACGGAGAACUGGAAAGUGGCGUACGUUCAAAAGCUACUGCACGUUCAAAACCUACAACUUAGUGCUACAUCAUUCGGAUGUUUUGAAGAAAACCAGGAGAUAACCCUCUGAAGAUUACUCAAUUCAUCAGACGUCGAAAAACUGUACCAGUUUCAAAACAUUAUAAGAUAUUGAACGAAAGCAUUCUGUAAACGAAAGAUGGAAACCUGGUCAUCCUAGUUGUGAUGUCGUUGCAUUGCAAGUCAUACAAAGAAAACGAACAGAUACUGUCGGAGCUUUACAUGGACUUUCCAUCGAAAGGCAUAUUUUAAUAACAUUGAGAAAGAAGUAUGCAAGUACUGUAAUGCACUGUAAAUUUCAGAUACCUGAAACCUAAGCUAUGUUACCAUAUCUGUCUUUUGUUUUUCUUGUAAAUGCUAAUUUUGUAUUCUUUUUACUUGGUCACGAACAAGAUGAAAUUAACAAUUGAGAACACAA